AGUGCCCGUGCUUGCUUGUGUGCCUAGCGCCUCUGCUGCUCCGCUGGACGAUUGCGCAGAGGACACCUGGCGCACAGCCGUUCAUUGCAAGCGAUCCCAGUGGUAAAUGCUCGUUUUAACCUCUCAACUUUUGCAGCGUGACUGUCUUGUUUUUUUGGUUGCAGUUUUGUUUUAUUUUUCUUUUGUUUUUUUCUAAAGAUACCUGCUCCGAGAACAAGGGUCUAUCAGGGUAAAAGAACCCUGUAGAGCCAGGCGUUUGGCUUCCAACUUAGGGCUUGAUGACACGGCUAUUCGCGACAGGUCUGGAAAGUUACUUCGUGUGAGGAAGCAUGUGCGCAAACUUUAAAAUCUUUUUUAUAAUCGGGAGACAGUUUUUCAGAAUGAAGGCAGGUGAGUCACCCGCGGCGUGAGGGGCGAAAAGAGCUCCUCGGCUCUCCAGGUACUGGCAAGAAAAGACAAGAGAGAAGAAGUCGUGAUCUGUGCGGUGGAUAGCGCUACGGAGGAAACGGACCGAUGAGACAAUAUGGGUCCAUUGCUGUGUGAUGGACGACUGACACACCUCCUCUUCCCUUUGCUUCUUCUCUUGCGGGCUCCCCUGUUAUUCAGUUUUGGUGAGCGAACAUGCCCCAAUAGCUGCCGAUGUGAGGGAAAAACUGUCCAUUGUGAUUCAUCUGGAUUUUUAGAUGUUCCAGAAAACAUCUCAGUAGGCUGCCAGGGCCUUUCCCUGCGAUACAAUGAACUGCAUACGCUGCUACCAUAUCAGUUUGCUCACCUCAGCCAGCUUCUCUGGAUCUACUUAGACCACAAUCAGAUUUCAGUUGUUGACAGUCGAGCGUUCCAGGGGGUCCGCAGACUCAAAGAGCUCAUACUGAGCUCCAACAGGAUUACAGCCCUACACAAUUCAACAUUUCAUGGAAUUCCAAAUCUUCGAAGUCUGGACUUGUCCUACAACAAAUUAGAAAUCCUACAGCCAGGUCAAUUCCAUGGCUUACGAAAACUACAAAACCUUCACCUACGCUCCAAUGGUCUCUCCAACAUCCCAAUUCGAGCAUUUCUGGAGUGUCGAAGUUUGGAGUUUCUGGAUUUGGGUUACAAUCGAAUCAAAGCUCUUACCCGCACAACUUUUCUGGGUCUACAGAAGCUGAUGGAGUUACAUCUGGAACAUAACCAAUUCUCUCGGAUCAACUUUUUUUUGUUUCCACGUUUAGCCAACCUAAGAUCACUUUAUCUGCAGUGGAAUCGAAUUAGGGUGGUCAACCAGGGUCUGCCAUGGACAUGGUAUACACUGCAGAAGCUUGAUCUGUCUGGAAAUGAAAUUCAGACUCUGGACCCAGCUGUGUUUCACUGCUUGCCCAACCUGCAAGUCUUAAACCUGGAAUCCAACAAGCUGUCCAAUGUGUCUCAGGAGGCAGUGUCAGCGUGGAUCUCACUGACCUCCAUAAGUCUUGCUGGCAAUAUCUGGGAUUGUGGAACUGGGAUAUGCCCACUUGUUGCUUGGUUGAGAAAUUUUCGGGGUAGUAAAGACACAACAAUGAUAUGCAGCAGCCCAAAGUACCUCCAGGGAGAAAAAGUCAUGGAUGCUACAAGGAGCCAUGGUAUUUGUGAGGAAAUCGAUUACAUUCUGACUGAAACACCUUCACCAACGUCAGAGCUCAUUUCGGAAGCCACUGCCGAACCAACCUUUGGCCCCACAAGUGGCAUUCCACCUAUGCCACCGACCAGUACCCUUGGUCCUCUCCCACCAUUUAGACCUCGACCCAUUCCUCAUCCUACCUUUCCCGGGCAUAUGAGCAAAGAUCCCAGAGACUCAGUGGUUCGCCCUCGACCCACUCACAUACCACCCCCAGAGAUAGAGCACAUGACUCUGCACAAAGUGGUUGUGGGCAGCGUAGCACUCUUCUUCACCAUGUCGUUAAUCUUGACAAUUUUUUAUGUUUUGUGGCGGCGCUACCCAGGUGCAACCAGGUUGCUGCAGCAGAGAUCCAUGGUGGGACGGAAGCGUCGCAAAAAGAGUCCAGAGCCAGAACAGAACCUCAGCUCCCAGCUCCAAGAGUAUUACAUGAGCUACAAUCCUGCUGCAACACCGGAAGCAUUGGAGGUGCUAGGCAAUGGCACUGGUUCCUGCACUUGCACAAUUUCUGGCUCCAGGGAGUGUGAGGUAUGAUCGAUCGCAUCAGCCUAAAAAUAAAAACUCAAAAUCAAAAUACAAGACCCAACAGAGAGAAUGAGUAUACAUGUCCACGCCCCCUACCCGGUGCCUGGUUGGGAGAUUUGCCUACCAUCCAUUAACCCUCAAAAGGACUGCUUUCGGAUGAUGCAGCAAACCACAGAGACGCAAGGAGAGAGACAUAUGCAGAGAACCCAUCAGGAUCCUACUCCCAUAGUUCACAUUUAAGGACACACUUACAAUGGCAUUCCACGCUAACAAAGGCAACCACGGACCAACACAUGGAGAUACUAUUGUCUUUUUUUUUUUUUUUUUCUUAAAAUUUUCUAAUGUCUGUUUUUGGCCUGUGGUCUUUGGUCAUUGGCUUUGCUCCGUCCAUCACAUCGCUUCAUCACUACACAGAUACUGACACUGAUGAUUGUGAACAUACAAUCUUACUGUGUGUUGCACAGUAGACCUUUUGAUGAAAAGUCAUGAGAACUAACUGGAUGAUUAUGAACAACAACCAAGCUUAUUGUAUAGAUAUUAACAGCUUAUUGUCUCCAUGAGGACAACAAGGCACUGUACAAAUUCAAGAGGCUUUAAAAAGUGUAAACCGAGCAAUGAGUCAUCAAUGAAAAUGCACUGAACAAGUAAUGGUGAUUGCUCUGUUAACUAAUCUGUGUAUAAUUUAAAGUGGGCUUGCAUAUUUUCUUUCCAUAUGAAGCAUCUUUCUGUCAUUUUUCACUUUUUUACUUUUUUUUUUAAAGAAAGACUAUUCAAAGGCUAUGAUGUAAAUGUGCCUCACUGGAGCAGAAAAUUUAUGGAACGAGUCACUGAGUUUUUAAGCACCUGCCAGUAAAGAGGAAGUCUGUUGUCUGGUGGAAAUUAAGUAAGCAGCUGGAAUCUCCAUUUGAAGCUUGUGGAAAAUUGCCUGAAGAAAGCAAACUAUCCCCCAGCCAAUAACAUUUGGUGAAGAUGUUUGUUUAUUUGCUUUUUUUAAAAUUAUUUUUUUAAGUUGUCAUUAAUUGCAAUCAAACUUCGACUGUCUUGUACGAUUUGGAGGACAGCAAGGGCAAUCAAAAGCAAAUGAGGGGAUAAAAGAAAAAAAAAGGUCCUAUCAAGGAUAAAAUGUGAUUUUCUGAAAUUAUAAUGUCGUUAACGUUGUACUUUAUAUAUAUAAAUAUAUAUAUGUGUUUCUGCCGUUUUCAAUGACAAAUACCAAAGAGCCAAAUGGAUACUUCUUGGCUUUUGGCUCUCCCAAACAAGAGUCAUAACAGAUCCAGAAAUGGUUCUUUUAAAUGAAAUAACCCCCCCUCCCCCCUAAAAAAUCUUAAACUAGCCUCAACACCCCUGACGUACAGCAGUGCUCCAUUACUGAAUCGGCUUUUCUCAUGUGUAUAAUGUGUAUGUCUUUGUGAAAAGAAAAGAAAAAAAUCUUACAAUUACAGUCUUCAUAAGGAAGAUAACUCUGAGCACUGCUUUACAUUGUAUGACUUUUGUUUAAUACAUGCUUCACUUUCCUUAAGAUAAUCAGCCCGCCUCUCUCCUCAAAGGAGAUUGCAGAUGUUGCUGUGUGUAGUUCCUGCGUGUGCUUGUGUUUCAUUCGUUUUGAGUUUGACACACCGAGUUUUGGAUUGUUUGUUUUGGACCUCUCGACAUAACCUUUCUACGGCGGAAAAUGAUAAUUUUCUAUUGUAAAUUUAUGUCCUUCCUCCCUUGAAUUUGUUGAUAUUUAGUAAGCAGCUGUAUUCUUUAUUCACUUUCGACAGUAUGUUUUAUAAAGAAAAUAAUGACUUUAUUGGUGAGCAAUA